rnacentral:rRNA from 1 species
AAUGAACGCUGGCGGCAGGCCUACACAUGCAAGUCGAACGGAUCCUUCGGGAUUAGUGGCGGACGGGUGAGUAACGCGUGGGAACAUACCCUUUGGUACGGAAUAGCCUCGGGAAACUGGGAGUAAUACCGUAUGUGGUCGAGAGACGAAAGAUUUAUCGCCAAAGGAUUGGCCCGCGUUGGAUUAGGUAGUUGGUGGGGUAAUGGCCUACCAAGCCGACGAUCCAUAGCUGGUUUGAGAGGAUGAUCAGCCACACUGGGACUGAGACACGGCCCAGACUCCUACGGGAGGCAGCAGUGGGGAAUCUUAGACAAUGGGGGAAACCCUGAUCUAGCCAUGCCGCGUGAUCGAUGAAGGCCUUAGGGUUGUAAAGAUCUUACAGGUGGGAAGAUAAUGACUGUACCACCAGAAGAAGCCCCGGCUAACUCCGUGCCAGCAGCCGCCGUAA